rnacentral:rRNA from 1 species
ACUAUUUAGGUAGUGCCUCGUGUCUCACCUUCGGGGGUAGAGCACUGUCAUGGUUGGGGGGUCUAUUGCAGAUUACCCCGCCAUAGCAAACUCCGAAUACCGAAGAGUGCAAUCACGGGAGACAGACAUCGGGUGCUAACGUCCGGUGUCAAGAGGGAAACAACCCAGACCGCCAGCUAAGGUCCCCAAAUAUAGCUAAGUGGGAAACGAAGUGGGAAGGCUAAAACAGUCAGGAGGUUGGCUUAGAAGCAGCCACCCUUUAAAGAAAGCGUAAUAGCUCACUGAUCGAGUCGUCCUGCGCGGAAGAUGUAACGGGGCUAAGCUAUAUACCGAAGCUGCGGAUGCGUGCUUGCACGCAUGGUAGGAGAGCGUUCCGUAAGCCUGCGAAGGUGCCUUGUAAAGGGUGCUGGAGGUAUCGGAAGUGCGAAUGCUGACAUGAGUAGCGAUAAAGGGGGUGAAAGGCCCCCUCGCCGUAAGCCCAAGGUUUCCUACGCAACGUUCAUCGGCGUAGGGUGAGUCGGCCCCUAAGGCGAGGCAGAAAUGCGUAGCUGAUGGGAAGCAGGUCAAUAUUCCUGCACCGUCGUUAGAUGCGAUGGGGGGACGGAUCGCGGAAGGUUGUCCGGGUGUUGGAAGUCCCGGUCGCUGCAUUGGAGAAGGCGCUUAGGCAAAUCCGGGCGCAGGAUUCAAGGGUGUGGCGCGAGCUCCCUCGGGAGCGAAGCAAUUGGAAGUGGUUCCAAGAAAAGCCUCUAAGCUUCAGUCUAACGAUGACCGUACCGCAAACCGACACAGGUGGGCGAGAUGAGUAUUCUAAGGCGCUUGAGAGAACUCGGGAGAAGGAACUCGGCAAAUUGGUACCGUAACUUCGGGAUAAGGUACGCCCUUGUAGCUUGAUGCGCCUGCGCGCAGAGGGUGAAGGGGUUGCAAUAAACUGGUGGCUGCGACUGUUUAAUAAAAACACAGCACUCUGCAAACACGAAAGUGGACGUAUAGGGUGUGACGCCUGCCCGGUGCCGGAAGAUUAAAUGAUGGGGUGCAAGCUCUUGAUUGAAGUCCCGGUAAACGGCGGCCGUAACUAUAACGGUCCUAAGGUAGCGAAAUUCCUUGUCGGGUAAGUUCCGACCUGCACGAAUGGCGUAACGAUGGCCACACUGUCUCCUCCCGAGACUCAGCGAAGUUGAAGUGUUUGUGAUGAUGCAAUCUACCCGCGGCUAGACGGAAAGACCCCAUGAACCUUUACUGUAGCUUUGCAUUGGACUUUGAACCGAUCUGUGUAGGAUAGGUGGGAGGCUAUGAAGCCGGAACGCUAGUUUCGGUGGAGCCGUCCUUGAAAUACCACCCUGGUUUGUUUGAGGUUCUAACCUUGGCCCGUGAUCCGGGUCGGGGACAGUGCAUGGUAGGCAGUUUGACUGGGGCGGUCUCCUCCCAAAGCGUAACGGAGGAGUACGAAGGUACGCUAGGUACGGUCGGAAAUCGUGCUGAUAGUGCAAUGGCAUAAGCGUGCUUAACUGCGAGACCGACAAGUCGAGCAGGUGCGAAAGCAGGUCAUAGUGAUCCGGUGGUUCUGUAUGGAAGGGCCAUCGCUCAACGGAUAAAAGGUACUCUGGGGAUAACAGGCUGAUACCGCCCAAGAGUUCAUAUCGACGGCGGUGUUUGGCACCUCGAUGUCGGCUCAUCUCAUCCUGGGGCUGUAGCCGGUCCCAAGGGUAUGGCUGUUCGCCAUUUAAAGAGGUACGUGAGCUGGGUUUAAAACGUCGUGAGACAGUUUGGUCCCUAUCUGCCGUGGGCGUUGGAUAUUUGAAGGGGGCUGCUCCUAGUACGAGAGGACCGGAGUGGACGAACCUCUGGUGUACCGGUUGUGACGCCAGUCGCAUCGCCGGGUAGCUAUGUUCGGAAGAGAUAACCGCUGAAAGCAUCUAAGCGGGAAACUCGCCUUAAGAUGAGAUAUCCCUGGGGACUUGAUCCCCUUGAAGGGUCGUUCGAGACCAGGACGUUGAUAGGUCAGGUGUGUAAGCGCAGUAAUGCGUUCAGCUAACUGAUACUAAUUGCCCGUAAGGCUUGAUCCUAUAACA